rnacentral:rRNA from 1 species
GAUGAACGCUGGCGGCGUGCCUAAUACAUGCAAGUCGAACGCGCAGCGAAAGGUGCUUGCACCUUUCAAGCGAGUGGCGAACGGGUGAGUAACACGUGGAUAACCUGCCUCAAGGCUGGGGAUAACAUUUGGAAACAGAUGCUAAUACCGAAUAAAACUUAGUAUCGCAUGAUACAAAGUUAAAAGGCGCUACGGCGUCACCUAGAGAUGGAUCCGCGGUGCAUUAGUUAGUUGGUGGGGUAAAGGCUUACCAAGACGAUGAUGAAUAGCCGAUUUGAUAGACUGAUCGGCCACAUUGGGACUGAGACACGGCCCAAACCCCUACGGGAGGCUGCAGUAGGGAAUCUUCCACAAUGGGCGCAAGCCUGAUGGAGCAACGCCGCGUGUGUGAUGAAGGCUUUCGGGUCGUAAAGCACUGUUGUAUGGGAAGAAAUGCUAAAAUAGGGAAUGAUUUUAGUUUGACGGUACCAUACCAGAAAGGGACGGCUAAAUACGUGCCAGCAGCCGCGGUAA